rnacentral:rRNA from 1 species
AAGUCGAACGGGAAAUAUUUCAUUGAGACUUCGGUGGAUUUGAUCUAUUUCUAGUGGCGGACGGGUGAGUAACGCGUGGGUAACCUGCCUUAUACAGGGGGAUAACAGUCAGAAAUGGCUGCUAAUACCGCAUAAGCGCACAGAGCUGCAUGGCUCAGUGUGAAAAACUCCGGUGGUAUAAGAUGGACCCGCGUUGGAUUAGCUGGUUGGUGGGGUAACGGCCCACCAAGGCGACGAUCCAUAGCCGGCCUGAGAGGGUGAACGGCCACAUUGGGACUGAGACACGGCCCAGACUCCUACGGGAGGCAGCAGUGGGGAAUAUUGCACAAUGGGGGAAACCCUGAUGCAGCGACGCCGCGUGAAGGAAGAAGUAUCUCGGUAUGUAAACUUCUAUCAGCAGGGAAGAUAGUGACGGUACCUGACUAAGAAGCCCCGGCUAACUACGUGCCAGCAGCCGCGGUAAUACGUAGGGGGCAAGCGUUAUCCGGAUUUACUGGGUGUAAAGGGAGCGUAGACGGUGUGGCAAGUCUGAUGUGAAAGGCAUGGGCUCAA